UGAAAGGGGGCGGAGCUGGUUAUGAGGCCGACGACAACGCUGACGACGACGCGAAACCCAGGAACGGACGCCAAAGAGCUGCGCUCUAAAAGAUAUGGCCCGUGCUUUGUGUAUCAGUCGUGCCCCACUUCAAAGCAAAGCGUUCAUACGCACCGGAUGAUGAAUCUACGGAGGCUGAAACGAGCAGUUGCAACGUGCCCGGUGUCGGCGGUCGGUAGUACUGCCGUAAUAACAAUUUUCAGGCAAGUGCCCGUUUAUUUGGUAUUUGUUUGGUGAGCUACGUGUUAUUGCUCGCUCUAGAAGUUUCUUACUGUGAUUUCGUAGCAUAAUUCUCUAAUGUAGGCGCAAUAGCAGCUGCGCUCGUUGUGGGGCAAGGUAACUACUUCCAUCCCACUCCGUGUGACUGUUUGUCAAACAUACAUCGGGUGUGGUGGCCCUGCGUAGUUCCGGUCUGUUUCUCAGCGCGGCUUGUUGUAAUACGGUCGUUCACACUUAAGUGAAAUGUGGUCAACCACUUUGCGUCACGUAGAAAAAGAACGACUGGCUUUGCCACCUUCCGAAAGAACCGGCGGGGUAUUGGUUCUCCCUGGCGCGGUCGCGUGCUGCUGUUGCUGCUUGCCGGACACCUUUAGGUUGUAUCCGGCUCGAUUUAUGUAUGUGUCGGUGCCUGCGUCCGCGCGCAUACAUGCCGGUUUCUAUGAGCCGGCGCGUUUGCUUGUGCCUAGUGCGUAAGUUUUUUGUGAGCGUGUUUGUGUAUGCGUGCUUGCGCGCGCAUGUUUCUGUAUGGGUCGUUGUGUGCGUGCACGUGUUAUCGUGCCCGCCUGCAUGUAUGUGUGUUUGUGUUUAUCAAUACGCGCGUGCACGCUUUUGUGUCUGCACUUUGAGAGUGCGUAUAUUUCUGCGUGGGUGCGAGUGGCGUUUUGCGCGCGUGCGUAUGUAUUGCACAAGGUCGCUAGAGUUCUACUCGCAAUAAAAAUCUUUAAAUUUGGUGCAGCGAGUGUUCCCACCUGAAAGCCGAGUUUGAUUUCAAGCCACCCUGGACAACUGUUGUGUGAGGCGCCGUUUCUCGGGAGGACCAGUGCGAAGGCGUCAGGUCAUGCAUGUGAUAGCAGCAGUUUACCAAUGUCCAGCCUUGGUGACCUCCAUCAAGAGCGAGAUACUUGCGUUUGCCUUCGGACAGAUGGUUGGUGCCUUGGAGGCAGUUGUGAAGAUAAUAUUGAUGCAAGAUUCCAGCAUAGCCAUGCGCGGCAUUUAUUGGUCAAUAAGCUCAGAGAAUGGAGUCCCUGCACGUCGUGGUUAACCAUGAACAGUAUUUUUUUUGUUUGAAAGCUAAGUGCCAUUUGCUGCAUCAAUUGCAUUUCUGCGCCUCAAAUGUUUACCAUAUAUUUUCUAAUUACGAAUCAAUUAAUGUACAAUGUUCAGUAUAUUUAUGAUGUUUGAUACAACGAUUUCUUGCUGGCAAAUGUUAAUUGUGAUAUUAAAUUUGAACCUAUGCGUGAC